AUGGGUUCAGCGAACAAGAAGUAGUAAACACUAACACAGGUCCCACUAAACAAUGACAACAAGACAGGUCCCACUAAACAGGGACAUUGCUUGGGUCAUAUCAGGGGAGCCCCACACCACACAUUUUCUUUCAUGCGUUAUUUUUUAUUUUUUAUUGUUUUUGUGGGAAUCUGUGUCGUAUCGAUCCCUCUUGUAACUCCAGCUUUAGUACUCAUUGGAAAUCUGUGUCGUAUGUAUUAUUUUCUUCAAUUUGUCUUUGAGUUGGGGGAAACAAAGAGAAUCGAGAGAUUUCAGGAUUUAACUAGUACAUGCCAGUAUAUAUAAUAUAUCUAACUAAUAAAACUAAUGUUUUAAUUCAAUAAUAAUUAAUAUAAAUUGUUUAUACCAUAUCUGAUUAAGUAACUAUAAGCAACUCUAAGCAAGACAAAGGGUCCCACAUUAGAAUAUUACAAGAAGUGAAGACCCAUUUUCAUUUAUAAAAAAGACUACUCUCCACUACUUAGGACAGGAUCCUUAGGCUGGGCUUGAUCCUUAGUCAUGGACUUCUCCGUUCUUCCUUUUAUAUUUGGGCUCAACCCCUAGUACAAAUAUAAAUACACAUUAUUAUAAGAAUGAGAAUAUACUUAUCUUUGGACGCA
rnacentral:lncRNA from 1 species